rnacentral:rRNA from 1 species
GACGAACGCUGGCGGCGUGCCUAACACAUGCAAGUCGAACGAAGAGAAUUGAGAGCUUGCUCUUGAAGAUCUUAGUGGCGAACGGGUGAGUAACGCGUAAACAACCUGCCUUCGGGAUGGGGACAACAGACGGAAACGACUGCUAAUACCCAAUGAACUAACCGAGCGAGUGCGAGGAAGAGGAAAGGUGGCCUCUCGAAGAAGCUACCGCCGGAAGAGGGGUUUGCGUCUGAUUAGUUAGUUGGUGGGGUAACGGCCUACCAAGACGAUGAUCAGUAGCCGGUCUGAGAGGAUGAACGGCCACACUGGAACUGAGACACGGUCCAG